rnacentral:rRNA from 1 species
CCUACGGGUGGCAGCAGUCGAGAAUCAUUCACAAUGGGGGAAACCCUGAUGGUGCGACGCCGCGUGGGGGAAUGAAGGUCUUCGGAUUGUAAACCCCUUUCAUGUGGGAGCAAAUUAAAAAGAUAGUACCACAAGAGGAAGAGACUGCUAACUCUGUGCCAGCAGCCGCGGUAAUACAGAGGUCUCAAGCGUUGUUCGGAAGCACUGGGCUUAAAGCGUGCGUAGGCUGUUUGGUAAGUCGGGUGUGAAAGGCUCGGGCUCAACCGGCGGACGGCACAUGAUACUGGGAGCCUAGAGUAAUGGAGGGGGAAGCGGAAUUCUCGGUGUAGCAGUGAAAUGCGUAGAGAUCGAGAGGAACACUCGUGGCGAAGGCGGGUUCCUGGACAUUAACUGACGCUGAGGCACGAAGGCCAGGGGAGCGAAAGGGAUUAGAUACCCCGGUAGUC